AGGCAGCUUUUUUGCUUUUCAUGAAGACUUGAGUCAAUGCGUUGCUUAGUGCUACCAAUUUUCAUAGAAGAUCAGAUAACCAUCUGGGGAAAGAGAAAAUACAACUGAAAGAGAGAAAGGAAGAUGGAAAUGAAUCAGAGAAGAAAAGGGAAUGUUGAUCUGAAGGACUUGAUCUUUGAUUGGUCUGUCAAUCAAGUGAGAAAUACAUCUCUCUUCAAAGAACAGGUUAAGGAGAUUCCUAAAACUUUUGAUUCUCUGAGCAAUUAUCUGAACUCAUUUACUUUUCCCUUGAUUGAAGAAGUGAGAGCUGAUUUAUGUACUUCUUUACAAUCUAUUUCUCAAGCUCCAUUUACUCAAAUUUUGGAACUUGACAAUGUCAAACAAAAGCAGCAACAUAUGUAUCGAAUUACUGUUGAACAUCAAAAUGAUUUAUUAGAUGGUAAUGAAGAAGGAUACAUUCCAAAGAGAGGAGACAUAAUUUUAUUAUCAGUUGUGAGGCCAAGGAACAUUUAUGUUCCAGUCCCGGGUCCAUUAUAUCGAAUUGCUGUUGUUUCUAAGGGAGGAGAUGACGAAGAUAAAUUGCCUCCGGAUGAUUUUAUUAUUUCAGCAUCAAGAAGCAUAGAGGAUGGUCUUUACUACAAGAUCAAAAAGGGAAAAUCCCCACUAUUUGCAGUCUACUUGCUUAAUUUUUCAACCCACAAUAGAAUAUGGCAAGCCAUUGACUUUGAAUCUGCUACAAAAAGAAAUUUGACACUUAUCAAAGAGAUCUUCAAUGAUAAAUCAUCGGUUUUUAAAGCGGAAGCUGAAUACCAACAAGCUGAAGUAAUUGGCAACAUUCAUGAUGACAACAUACCACAGAUUUUGAGCUCAUUUAAGCUUAAUGAAUCUCAAAGCAAUGCAGUACUAGCUUGUGUUUCUUCAGUUCAAAGCCAUGAGAAAUGUUCUAUUGAUCUUGUUUGGGGGCCACCUGGGACUGGAAAGACUGAAACAACUUCUGCUCUGCUUUGGAUAUUGAAACAAAUGAAUUGCAGGACACUCAUUUGUGCACCAACAAAUACUGCUGUGAAGGAAGUUGCCUUGCGUUAUCUGAAAUUGCUAGAAAUGAAUGCCCAAGGAAUUGGUACUUGUCCACUUGGAGAUGUGGUGUUGUUUGGUAAUAAGGAUAGCUUGAGCAUUGGUGAUAAUCUUCAAGAUGUGUUUUUGGAUUAUCGCGUGGAAGAGCUUGCAAAAUGGUUUAAACAAACAACUGGUUGGAGCUAUUGCUUAUGUUCGAUGUUGGAGUUCUUUGAAAAUUGUCUUUCAUUGUAUGAGGCAGCUUCAUAUGACAAUAGUGAAGCAGAAACUCUUAAAAGUUUUAUCAGGAGAAAAUUUUCUUUCAAUUCAGAAAGGUUGAGUGACUGUCUUAAAACAUUCAGAAUGCAUCUACCAAGUGCUUUCAUUUCAGAAGCAAGUUCCAGUGACAUUGUGGUGCUUCUUGAUUUGCUACAAGAAUUCGGACGACUUCUCUGCAGAAAUGUUUCCAUCCGUGUUCUUGAGGAAGUCUUCAAAUCUUCCUGCGAGGUUGUGGAUGAAAACAGAUCUACAAUUUCCAGGCUAAGAAACUGCAGGGCCAACUGUGUUCAAGUCCUGCAUAGACUUGAGUCAGGAUUGAAUCUUCCUGAUAAUUUUUCUGAGAAAAGUAUCCGAGAUCUUUGCUUACGACAUGCAUCACAUAUGUUCUCCACAGUUUCUUCUUCUUCGAAAUUGCAUUAUGUGAAGAGGAUGAAGGACUUGGAUGUACUUGUCAUUGAUGAUGCUGCUCAGUUAAAAGAAUGUGAAACACUCAUUCCUCUACAACUAUUUGGAGUAAGACACACUAUUCUUAUCGGUGAUGAAUGCCAGUUGCCUGCAAUGGUUAGGAGCAAGCUCUCAGAGACAGCACUGUUUGGAAGAAGUCUGUUUGGAAGGUUAAGUUCAAUGGGAUUUAAGAAGAACCUGCUAUAUGUGCAGUAUAGGAUGCACCCUGAAAUAAUCCAAUUUCCAAAUGCCAAGUUUUAUGAAAAAAGAAUUGAAGAUGGUCCAAAUGUUAUUGAUGAGAAGCACAGACGAUGCUUUCUCCCUGGCCCCAUGUUUGGUCCUUAUUCAUUUAUCAACAUUGAGUCAGGAUGGGAGGAUUCUGAUAGAUUGGGAUAUAGCAAGAACAAUUUUGUCGAAGUAGUUGUUGUUUCAGAAAUAAUCAGAAGACUUUUUAAUGAAUGUAUGAGAACUAAUCAGAAACUUGGCGUUGGAAUUAUAUGUCCUUAUACCGCACAAGUUAUUGAGAUACAAGACGAACUUGGUGAAGGGUAUAAUGAAUAUGAAUCCUUUUCUGUGACUGUUAAUUCAGUUGAUGGAUUUCAAGGUGGUGAGGAAGAUAUCAUAAUAUUUUCUGCUGUGAGGGCCAAUCCUGCUGGAAAAGUUGGAUUCAUGUACAAUCAUCAGCGAACAAAUGUUGCAUUGACCAGAGCAAGACAUUGUCUUUGGAUUUUAGGAAAUGCACCAACAUUAAUUAAAAGUCAAACAAUCUGGGCAGAAAUAGUUCAUGAUGCACAGAACCGUCAUUUAUUCUUUGAUGCAAAAGAUGAUGAAGGCUUUCUUAAUGCCAUAAUCGAAUACUGUGGCAAGGUUGGUCGAUUAGAUUAUUUGCUUAACAACAAUCCCGAGUAUAUCAACAGGAUACAGGACAAGAAAACCAGGGGUUAUUCAGUUCCAAAUUCAGAUUCCAACAGUGUUUUGGUAAACAAUAUUGAGAAUACUCCUGAAGCACCAAAGGCUAACAACAUAAAAUUUCAAGCCGGCAAGAAGCGCAGAUCUAAAAUGUUGCAUCUACCUAAAUGUCCCCCAGCGAACAAAUUUGAAGAUGAAGUGCCAGUAGAUAUCUCUUCACUUAAUUUGUGGAACUCUGAUUAUGCAUCAAGCUCAACGACAAUAUCGGGGAAAUCAGAGAAGAAAGAAAAGAACAAAGAGAAAACUGAGAAGCAAAUCGAUAAGACAUCCAAGCAGGCGCAUGUUGCAAAACUUGUAGAUCAACCUAAAGCUCCUCCCCAUACAAAUAAAUCUGGAGACACAUCCAAGCUCAAAAAUAACAAAGGCAAAAACUUUGGUAGAAGAGAAGACUAAAGUUGCACAUCAAACUAAAGAAAGGAUGAAAACAGUAUAUACGGAAAGUAAAAUAAGUAAUUAAAGGAACACAAAGGCAAAAUUUCUUAGUUUGAGUAAAUUCUAAUCAGAGUUGAAGUUGAUGGUGUUGCUGCUGCUUCCACUUACGUGUUUUUCCUUGUUUACAAAGUAAACACUGAUAUGAUUAUACAAACUUAUGUCUCCUUCCAUUAUGUAUAACAGUACAAGUCUUUGGAUUGGAUCUAAACGGAAAAAAAUGCGUUUGAUUUGUAAUUUUUUUUUUUAAUCAAGUUUGGUUGACAACA